rnacentral:rRNA from 1 species
AUUGAACGCUGGCGGCAUGCCUUACACAUGCAAGUCGAACGGCAGCACGGGUGCUUGCACCUGGUGGCGAGUGGCGAACGGGUGAGUAAUACAUCGGAACGUACCUUAUCGUGGGGGAUAACGCAGCGAAAGCUGUGCUAAUACCGCAUACGCCCUGAGGGGGAAAGCGGGGGAUCGCAAGACCCCGCGCGAUUAGAGCGGCCGAUGCCUGAUUAGCUUGUUGGUGGGGUAAAAGCCCACCAAGGCGACGAUCAGUAGCUGGUCUGAGAGGACGAUCAGCCACACUGGGACUGAGACACGGCCCAGACACCUACGGGAGGCAGCCGUGGGGAAUUUUGGACAAUGGGGGCAACCCUGAUCCAGCAAUGCCGCGUGAGUGAAGAAGGCCUUCGGGUUGUAAAGCUCUUUUGUCAGGGAAGAAACAGCAGCUCUAACACAGUUUGCGAAUGACGGUACCUGAAGAAUAAGCACCGGCUAACUACGUGCCAGCCGCCGCAGUAA